GGUUAAGCGACUAAGCGUACACGGUGGAUGCCCUGGCAGUCAGAGGCGAUGAAGGACGUGCUAAUCUGCGAAAAGCGUCGGUAAGGUGAUAUGAACCGUUAUAACCGGCGAUGUCCGAAUGGGGAAACCCAGUGUGUUUCGACACACUAUCAUUAACUGAAUCCAUAGGUUAAUGAGGCGAACCGGGGGAACUGAAACAUCUAAGUACCCCGAGGAAAAGAAAUCAACCGAGAUUCCCCCAGUAGCGGCGAGCGAACGGGGAGGAGCCCAGAGCCUGAAUCAGUGUGUGUGUUAGUGGAAGCGUCUGGAAAGGCGUGCGAUACAGGGUGACAGCCCCGUACACAAAAAUGCACAUGCUGUGAGCUCGAUGAGUAGGGCGGGACACGUGGUAUCCUGUCUGAAUAUGGGGGGACCAUCCUCCAAGGCUAAAUACUCCUGACUGACCGAUAGUGAACCAGUACCGUGAGGGAAAGGCGAAAAGAACCCCGGCGAGGGGAGUGAAAAAGAACCUGAAACCGUGUACGUACAAGCAGUGGGAGCCUCUUUAUGGGGUGACUGCGUACCUUUUGUAUAAUGGGUCAGCGACUUAUAUUCUGUAGCAAGGUUAACCGAAUAGGGGAGCCGGAGGGAAACCGAGUCUUAACUGGGCGUUAAGUUGCAGGGUAUAGACCCGAAACCCGGUGAUCUAGCCAUGGGCAGGUUGAAGGUUGGGUAACACUAACUGGAGGACCGAACCGACUAAUGUUGAAAAAUUAGCGGAUGACUUGUGGCUGGGGGUGAAAGGCCAAUCAAACCGGGAGAUAGCUGGUUCUCCCCGAAAGCUAUUUAGGUAGCGCCUCGUGAAUUCAUCUCCGGGGGUAGAGCACUGUUUCGGCAAGGGGGUCAUCCCGACUUACCAACCCGAUGCAAACUGCGAAUACCGGAGAAUGUUAUCACGGGAGACACACGGCGGGUGCUAACGUCCGUCGUGAAGAGGGAAACAACCCAGACCGCCAGCUAAGGUCCCAAAGUCAUGGUUAAGUGGGAAACGAUGUGGGAAGGCCCAGACAGCCAGGAUGUUGGCUUAGAAGCAGCCAUCAUUUAAAGAAAGCGUAAUAGCUCACUGGUCGAGUCGGCCUGCGCGGAAGAUGUAACGGGGCUAAACCAUGCACCGAAGCUGCGGCAGCGACGCUGAUGCGUUGUUGGGUAGGGGAGCGUUCUGUAAGCCUGUGAAGGUGUGCUGUGAGGCAUGCUGGAGGUAUCAGAAGUGCGAAUGCUGACAUAAGUAACGAUAAAGCGGGUGAAAAGCCCGCUCGCCGGAAGACCAAGGGUUCCUGUCCAACGUUAAUCGGGGCAGGGUGAGUCGACCCCUAAGGCGAGGCCGAAAGGCGUAGUCGAUGGGAAACAGGUUAAUAUUCCUGUACUUGGUGUUACUGCGAAGGGGGGACGGAGAAGGCUAUGUUGGCCGGGCGACGGUUGUCCCGGUUUAAGCGUGUAGGCUGGUUUUCCAGGCAAAUCCGGAGAAUCAAGGCUGAGGCGUGAUGACGAGGCACUACGGUGCUGAAGCAACAAAUGCCCUGCUUCCAGGAAAAGCCUCUAAGCAUCAGGUAACAUCAAAUCGUACCCCAAACCGACACAGGUGGUCAGGUAGAGAAUACCAAGGCGCUUGAGAGAACUCGGGUGAAGGAACUAGGCAAAAUGGUGCCGUAACUUCGGGAGAAGGCACGCUGAUAUGUAGGUGAAGCGACUUGCUCGUGGAGCUGAAAUCAGUCGAAGAUACCAGCUGGCUGCAACUGUUUAUUAAAAACACAGCACUGUGCAAACACGAAAGUGGACGUAUACGGUGUGACGCCUGCCCGGUGCCGGAAGGUUAAUUGAUGGGGUCAGCGCAAGCGAAGCUCUUGAUCGAAGCCCCGGUAAACGGCGGCCGUAACUAUAACGGUCCUAAGGUAGCGAAAUUCCUUGUCGGGUAAGUUCCGACCUGCACGAAUGGCGUAAUGAUGGCCAGGCUGUCUCCACCCGAGACUCAGUGAAAUUGAACUCGCUGUGAAGAUGCAGUGUACCCGCGGCAAGACGGAAAGACCCCGUGAACCUUUACUAUAGCUUGACACUGAACACUGGUCCUUGAUGUGUAGGAUAGGUGGGAGGCUUUGAAGUGUGGACGCCAGUCUGCAUGGAGCCGUCCUUGAAAUACCACCCUUUAAUGGCUGGUGUUCUAACGUAGGCCCCUUAUCGGGGUUGCGGACAGUGUCUGGUGGGUAGUUUGACUGGGGCGGUCUCCUCCUAAAGAGUAACGGAGGAGCACGAAGGUUGGCUAAUCCUGGUCGGACAUCAGGAGGUUAGUGCAAUGGCAUAAGCCAGCUUGACUGCGAGCGUGACGGCGCGAGCAGGUGCGAAAGCAGGUCAUAGUGAUCCGGUGGUUCUGAAUGGAAGGGCCAUCGCUCAACGGAUAAAAGGUACUCCGGGGAUAACAGGCUGAUACCGCCCAAGAGUUCAUAUCGACGGCGGUGUUUGGCACCUCGAUGUCGGCUCAUCACAUCCUGGGGCUGAAGUAGGUCCCAAGGGUAUGGCUGUUCGCCAUUUAAAGUGGUACGCGAGCUGGGUUUAGAACGUCGUGAGACAGUUCGGUCCCUAUCUGCCGUGGGCGCUGGAGAACUGAGGGGGGCUGCUCCUAGUACGAGAGGACCGGAGUGGACGCAUCACUGGUGUUCGGGUUGUCAUGCCAAUGGCACUGCCCGGUAGCUAAAUGCGGAAGAGAUAAGUGCUGAAAGCAUCUAAGCACGAAACUUGCCCCGAGAUGAGUUCUCCCUGACCCUUUAAGGGUCCUGAAGGAACGUUGAAGACGACGACGUUGAUAGGCCGGGUGUGUAAGCGCAGCGAUGCGUUGAGCUAACCGGUACUAAUGAACCGUGAGGCUUAACCUU
rnacentral:rRNA from 1 species